UUUCCGAUCACAAGACAAGUGAGCGUCCAGAAGAAGAAGAAAAUCAAGAGGACGAGGAGGAAGCAAAUGCUCACAUCGAUCAAGAGACAGAUGUUUUAUUUACAAAUGAUCAGGAAAUUCGGCCGCAAGAUAAAUCAAAUUCAUUGAAAAUAAUAUAUCAAGAUAAAAACAGUAACGUGAACAGGCAUGAAAGCCAUUACUACGAAGAAUCUGCUUCUGAAAUAACUUACAAUUAUUAUUUUACUGCAAAGUUACUAAAACAUCUUCUGCAGAAAACAGUAACUGGAUCCAAGAUCCUUCAAACAGCUGAGUGUGCAUUGGAAUUGUCGGAAGCCAGUAAGAAAUUUGUUACGGAUACAGUCGCCAGACAGCAUAUUGAAAGUAGGAAGAAAACUACCGCUGAGCAAUUGAACAUUUAUGCUGACGUAAUCGUUGAAGUAUUUUCAAGCGAAUCAAAGUAAGUGACAUACUUCAUCUCGAAAGAUAAAGGUAAUCCUGGUGAUAAGCUAUACAGUAGAAUAAACUACAUUUAACAGUCUGAACGCAAACGAGAGAGAGAUAGGAGAACGACUAUUUGAGUGGCAUGAAAGCCAAAAGCAACAAAAUUGAAGCAACUAACGCUCUCGAUUGGCUCAAGCUGAAUCACUCGCCCUGGUCUACAGUUAUAUCGCAGUGGGAACUGUCGUUUGGCGUCAUACAAUUGCUGAACAAGAAACAAUCGAGCAGAAAUUUGAAAACACACACAAUAAACUCAAAACUGAAUGUUCAACUUCUGAACAUGAUAUUAUUAGACCGUUUACAGCUAGAGUUAGUUUAGGUUAGUUUAGGUUAAGUAGAUAAAAAUAUACAAUUUUAAGGAUAUAAAUCCGAACAUGAAAUAAAAGUCACUAACAAUUUGGGACUGAAACAAUAAGAAAUAAAAAAAUUAAAUAUAGACUAAGCAGAUAAUACCAUAGAUGUAAAGUUAUAAACUGUAUCACUAAAAUAUUGUAGCCACUGUAUAUAAAUGUUGACAAAAAAUUUCACGUUUCAGUCCUACGCGUAGCAUGCUAGAGGUAGGUUGUUGCUAGACAGCAAGACAAAAAGUCAGGGUGGCAAGCGACCGGGAAAAACGGGAAAACCGGGAAAAAGUCGGGAAUUUUGUUUCACCGGGAAAACCCGGGAAAAAGUCGGGAAUUUUAGUGUAAAACCGGGAAAAAAUUUACUAGCCCUAAUCGUAGUACAUCAUGAUUUUCCUGAUUAAACAAAUGAAAAAUAGGAGGCAAUACUUCAUUUUGUGUUUAAGUGAGAAGUUAAGUAAAACUUUUGAAACAUCGUAUUGUCCCACACAGGUUUUAUUUUACACAAUCCAUUGGAGAUGGAACCAACAUCCCAUGUUUCGUUCAACAAUUCUAAGGGGUUUGCCGCAAUUUUUAAAUCAGAAAGCAUUUCUUAAUUGUUAUCAACAACAGCACAUCGAACAGAUGCUUUUGCUAGAUUUCUAUUAAAUUUCAGAUUAAGUUUGCAUAAUAUGGUUGCAAAAGAAAUAUCAGGUAACAUGUUUAAUAAAAUUAUGAAAAAUUCUUAGGAGCCUUCAUGUUUUUGAGUGGGCUAAUGAUUGUCCUAAUUUCAUCAUAAUUUGCCUCAGUAAUGUCAUUUUGACACAAUACUUGUGUUGUAAUCUUGGUAUUGAUUUCAAUAGGACUCACAAAAUUUGAAAAGCUGUCGACUUUGACCUUGUCCACCGUUUGCAAUGCGUAUUUGAUUUCAUUCUAUGAGAUCUGAAAUCGGUUUCUGAGAGUUUGUGAAAAACCUUUGAAAGGUUUAGAAGGUGGUUUGAUUUGUUCAGUGAAUGUUUAAUGUUUAAUUUAUAUUAAACAUCAUUACCUAUGGAUUUCAUAGUAAUAUUCACAAGAACGCGGGUGUUGAUGUCGACGAAGAAUCAAACUUAGGUCAUCUCAGUCACUAGAGGCAUAGAUUGUUGUUGUUUUUCCAGAGCGACAAGAGUCCAUUUUAAGAAUUUUAGAAGGUUUUUUUUCUGUUUCACCAAAAUUCAACUUUGAAAGAAUAUCGUAUAUGUUGUUAGAUGAAAUCGGAAGGAGAAUUGUUUCUUGUUCAUUUUUAACCUUUGGUAUACUUUUUUAGACUAUACUAAGCUAAUAUAGUAUUGGAACACACUAGAGAUGAGCAAUCCGUUCACGAACAGUUCAACAAGUUAUUUCUCCUCGAAGAGUGAGUGAAUUUGAGUUCUUUAUUCAAGAAUGAUAGUUCUUUAUAUAGAAAUGAAAAAAAAAUCGAAUAUUUAGAGGAUGUAUACAAGCUAGUUGCGUUUUUCGGAAUGUUUUCUGAUUUGAGGAAUCUGGUAGAAGUUACACACAUUCGUGACCUUUGAUAGCGUACAGAAAGAGAAUGCUUGUUGGUAGAAAUACAUGCCAAAAGUACUCACUAUUUUUGAAUCUGUAAUCUGUGGCUCUCAUAUUAUUUGCGAAGAAACAUACAAAGUCUCAGAAGAACGAAACCAAAAAGGUUAAAAAAGGGAUAAAAUAAAUGAUAUAUAAAAAAGAAGAACGAAAGAACGGUUCAAUAUUGAAUACGCAGUCCCUGUUUGGCGGGGCUGUGCACGAACACACAAACUUAGGCUUCAGCGCAUUCAAAGUAAGAUCUUAAAGAUGAUUCUAAAUCUACCCCCUUGGACAAGGACUAGUGAAGUACAUGAAAUGGCCUCGCUGGAUAUACUAGAACAAAAAUUCGAACAAUACUGCACGAAAUUUGAAGAGAGGUGCUCUAUCUCUGAAAUACAAAUAAUUCAAAAUUUGUACGUAUUAGGU